rnacentral:rRNA from 1 species
UACGUAGGGGGCAAGCGUUGUCCGGAUUCAUUGGGCGUAAAGCGCGUGUAGGCGGCCAGGUAGGUCUGCUGUGAAAAACUCGAGGCUCAACCUCGAGACGUCGGCGGAAACCAUAUGGCUAGAGUCCGGAAGAGGAGAGUGGAAGUUCCUGGUGUAGCGGUGAAUGCGCAGAUAUCAGGAAGAACACCGAUGGCGAAGGCAGCUCUCUGGGACGGUACUGACGCUGAGACGCGAAAGCGUGGGGAGCGAACAGG